AGCGAACGCUGGCGGCAGGCUUAACACAUGCAAGUCGAGCGGACCUUCCGGGGUCUGCGGCGGACGGGUGAGUAACGCGUGGGAACGUGCCCUCCGGUUCGGAAUAACUCUGGGAAACUAGGGCUAAUACCGGAUACGCGCUUAUGGGGGACGGUUUACUGGCGGACAGUCUGCCAGCGUCUGAUUAGCUUGUUGGUGGGGUAACGGCCUACCAAGGCGACGAUCAGAAGCUGGUCUGAGAGGAUGAUCAGCCACACUGGGAGUGAGACACGUCCCAGACUCCUACGAAAGGGAGCAGAGGGGAAUAUUGGACACUGGGUGAAAGCCUGAUCUAGCCGGGCCGUGAGAGUGAUUAAGGCGUUAGGAUUAUAAGGCUAAUUUAUCCGGGACGUUAAUAACGGAACCGGAGAAAUAAGCCCCGGCAAACAUCGU
rnacentral:rRNA from 1 species